rnacentral:rRNA from 1 species
GUUUGAUUCCUGGCUCAGAUUGAACGCUGGCGGCAGGCCUAACCAUGCAGUCGAGCGGAUGAGGGAGCUUGCUCCUGGAUUCAGCGGCGGACGGGUGAGUAAUGCCUAGGAAUCUGCCUGGUAGUGGGGGAUAACGUCCGGAAACGGGCGCUAAUACCGCAUACGUCCUGAGGGAGAAAGUGGGGGAUCUUCGGACCUCACGCUAUCAGAUGAGCCUAGGUCGGAUUAGCUAGUUGGUGGGGUAAAGGCCUACCAAGGCGACGAUCCGUAACUGGUCUGAGAGGAUGAUCAGUCACACUGGAACUGAGACACGGUCCAGACUCCUACGGGAGGCAGCAGUGGGGAAUAUUGGACAAUGGGCGAAAGCCUGAUCCAGCCAUGCCGCGUGUGUGAAGAAGGUCUUCGGAUUGUAAAGCACUUUAAGUUGGGAGGAAGGGCAGUAAGUUAAUACCUUGCUGUUUUGACGUUACCAACAGAAUAAGCACCGGCUAACUUCGUGCCAGCAGCCGCGGUAAUACGAAGGGUGCAAGCGUUAAUCGGAAUUACUGGGCGUAAAGCGCGCGUAGGUGGUUCAGCAAGUUGGAUGUGAAAUCCCCGGGCUCAACCUGGGAACUGCAUCCAAAACUACUGAGCUAGAGUACGGUAGAGGGUGGUGGAAUUUCCUGUGUAGCGGUGAAAUGCGUAGAUAUAGGAAGGAACACCCAGUGGCGAAGGCGACCACCUGGACUGAUACUGACACUGAGGUGCGAAAGCGUGGGGAGCAAACAGGAUUAGAUACCUGGGGUAGU